CUACGGGGUGCUGCAGUGAGGAAUAUUGCACAAUGGGGGGAACCCUGAUGCAGCAACGCCGCGUGGAGGAUGACGCAUUUCGGUGUGUAAACUCCUUUUAUAUGUCAAGAAAAUGACGGUAGCAUAUGAAUAAGCACCGGCUAACUCCGUGCCAGCAGCCGCGGUAAUACGGAGGGUGCAAGCGUUACUCGGAAUCACUGGGCGUAAAGGACGCGUAGGCGGGUUGGAAAGUCAGGUGUGAAAUCCUACAGCUUAACUGUAGAACUGCACUUGAAACUUCUAAUCUAGAGUAUGGGAGGGGGAGAUGGAAUUAGUGGUGUAGGGGUAAACUCCGUAGAUAUCACUAGGAAUACCUAAAGCGAAGGCGAUCUCCUGGAACAUUACUGACGCUAAGGCGUGAAAGCGUGGGGAGCAAACAGGAUUAGAACCCUUGUAGUC
rnacentral:rRNA from 1 species